UAGAGGUAAAUCUUUAUAAAAAUGGGUUUUUUUAGCUGAAUUUUUUAAUAAUGGUGUAUGAUGAUUGUAAAAAGAAUUUGCAAAUAAUGAUACCUUGCAUGUUUUUGUUCAGAUUUCAUUGGCCGAGACAUUUCAGACAGGGAUGGGGUAAUGGUAAUUUGUAAUGAUCACCUGAGAAUCCAAUUUUAUUACACUACCUUAUGAAGAACAUUCUUGGUUCUGUUAUUGGUGUGACGGAGUUGUUUGGCAGUAUAAAUAUUGGCAGGAUUUCUAAAUCCGAUCCGGUAGCAGUUAAUUUGAAUUUCUUCAAUAGAUGUGAUCCAGUUCCUCAGAUGAGACAGCUAUUGGAAAUAUUUGACUAUAUUCUCCAUGGUAUCAGUACAUGAGUACCUGAGGUUUUUCUACACCAGCUUUGCUUUAUGAGAGUACUAUUACUAUUCCUUCGCCUUGAGUGGACUGAGGGCUGAGGGUGGCAGCCCAGCACAGGACUGAGGGGGACAGUUCCUGUGGAGUUCUUCAUGGGGGAUACUCAUGAUGCUGAUUGGAUAGAGAUAAUUAUGAUUGAACCCACCGUGAUGAUUUUGUUUUUUUAAGAGAGAUGCCAGUUAACCAUGGCACUUCAUCCUAAACAGUACUCUAUGAAGUGUACACCUGGUGCUGAGAUUGGUACAACACAUGCAGUUGUUGGCUGUAUAUGUUUUAGAAGGAAUACUAUCCUAGUGCAGGAAUAGACUGUUGGGCAUUGAGGUUGCACUAUUCCUCAUGUAGGUAAAGACUGUUAGGCAUAGACUGUUAGGCAUGGAGAUUGCAGUAUUCUUGAUUUCUCUCCUUGGAAAUACACCAGAUGCUGACAUCAGACAGGAUCUAGUUGACCAUAUUACAAUUUGCAUGAAGAGUAGAGACGGGCAUCUUUCUAUUGUGGGAGCAGUAUCAUUAUUCCUCCGCCUUGAGGGGACUGAGGGCUGAGGGUGGCAGCCCAGCACAGGACUGGGGGGGCAGUUCUUGUGGAGUUCUUCAUGGGGGAUACACAUGAUGCGGAUUGGAUGCAGACUUUGUAGGCCGAUAGAUUUCGGAUCACCUCGGAAUCCAUGUACAGUGUACCUUGUGACAAAUUUUCCUGGUUAUUGGUUUGACAUAGUUUUGGGCAGCAUCAGUAUUGGCAGGAUUUCUAUUCCUUAAAUCUGACUGCAUCGAUGAUGGCAGUUUGGCUUCAU